UUUUGUUUGUUUAGAUUGUUUCUAGUGUUGGUUUCUUUCUCACCAACACUAAAGUGUCUAGAUCUAAAAAUUUGAGCUUAUGUUGUUGACCUUGUUGAUGUAAAUUGGAAGUUGGUCGUGUGUUGAUAUUGUUGAUCUUGGCCAUGUGUUGCAAUUGUUGUGGACUUGGAGGUGAAUGUUGGUGGUGUUCUUGAGAAAUUGUUAUUGAGAUCUUGUUGUUCUUCACAUCCUGACAUCUCUUAAUCAAUAUAAAGUAUAACAUAGAUCCAAAAAAGGUGUAAGAUAAAGUUGNN
rnacentral:lncRNA from 1 species